rnacentral:rRNA from 1 species
GACAGAGGUCCCGAGCGUUAGGCGGAAUCACUGGGCUUAAAGCGUGUGUAGGCGGAGUUCUAAGUACCUUGUGAAAUCCCACGGCUCAACCGUGGAACUGCUUGGUAUACUGGUUCUCUUGAGCCACCUAGGGGCAACCGGAACAAACGGUGGAGCGGUGAAAUGCGUAGAUAUCGUUUGGAACGCCAAUGGUGAAAACAGGUUGCUGGGGGUGUGCUGACGCUGAGACACGAAAGCCAGGGGAGCAAACAGG